UACGUAGGGUGCAAGCGUUGCCCGGAAUUACUGGGCGUAAAGGGCGCGUAGGCGGCCAUCUAAGUCAGACGUGAAAUCCCUCGGCUCAACCGAGGAACUGCGUCUGAUACUGGAAGGCUUGAAUCCGGGAGAGGGAUGUGGAAUUCCAGGUGUAGCGGUGAAAUGCGUAGAUAUCUGGAGGAACACCGGUGGCGAAGGCGGCAUCCUGGACCGGUAUUGACGCUGAGGCGCGAAAGCUAGGGGAGCAAACGGG
rnacentral:rRNA from 1 species